rnacentral:tRNA from 1 species
AUGGUCGAGCGGUGGUCUUUUAUCCAAGAGAUCCAGGGUUCGAUUCCUGGCUGUUCC